rnacentral:rRNA from 1 species
CUAGACCUACGGGGGGCAGCAGUGGGGAAUAUUGCGCAAUGGGCGAAAGCCUGACGCAGCGACGCCGCGUGAGGGAUGAAGGUCUUCGGAUCGUAAACCUCUGUCAGCAGGGAAGAACGGUCACUGUGCUAAUCAGCAGUGAAUUGACGGUACCUGCAAAGGAAGCACCGGCUAACUCCGUGCCAGCAGCCGCGGUAAUACGGAGGGUGCGAGCGUUAAUCGGAAUUACUGGGCGUAAAGCGCUCGUAGGCGGUGAUGCAAGUCAGAAGUGAAAGCCCGCAGCUCAACUGCGGGACUGCUUUUGG